GCAGGGGCUCGUAAGACCUUGCGCUUUUGGAGCGGCCGAUGCCUGAUUAGCUUGUUGGUGGGGUAAUGGCUUACCAAGGCGACGAUCAGUAGUUGGUCUGAGAGGACGACCAGCCACACUGGGACUGAGACACGGCCCAGACUCCUACGGGAGGCAGCAGUGGGGAAUUUUGGACAAUGGGCGAAAGCCUGAUCCAGCAAUGCCGCGUGAGUGAAGAAGGCCUUCGGGUUGUAAAGCUCUUUCAGUCGAGAAGAAAAGAUUGUGACUAAUAAUCACAAUUCAUGACGGUAUCGACAGAAGAAGCACCGGCUAACUACGUGCCAGCAGCCGCGGUAAUACGUAGGGUGCAAGCGUUAAUCGGAAUUACUGGGCGUAAAGGGUGCGCAGGCGGCUUUGUAAGUCAGAUGUGAAAUCCCCGGGCUUAACCUGGGAAUUGCGUUUGAAACUACAGAGCUAGAGUGUAGCAGAGGGGAGUGGAAUUCCAUGUGUAGCAGUGAAAUGCGUAGAGAUAUGGAAGAACAUCGAUGGCGAAGGCAGCUCCCUGGGUUAACACUGACGCUCAUGCACGGAAGCGUGGGGAGCAAACAGGAUUAGAUGCCCUGGUAGUCCACGCCCUAAACGAUGUCAACUAGUUGUUGGGCCUUAUUAGGCUUGGUAACGUAGCUAACGCGUGAAGUUGACCGCCUGGGGAGUACGGUCGCAAGAUUAAAACUCAAAGGAAUUGACGGGGACCCGCACAAGCGGUGGAUUAUGUGGAUUAAUUCGAUGCAACGCGAAAAACCUUACCUACCCUUGACAUGUAGCGAAUACUCUAGAGAUAGAGUAGUGCCUUCGGGAAUGCUAACACAGGUGCUGCAUGGCUGUCGUCAGCUCGUGUCGUGAGAUGUUG
rnacentral:rRNA from 1 species